UGAGUCGGCCAGGCGGUCGCGUCGGCAGCCACCCCCGGGCACCACGUCCGGUAGGGCCUGCCGCCGAGGAACGUCCGGGCUCCAUAGGGCACGGUGGUGGCUAACGGCCACCCGGGGUGACCCGCGGGACAGUGCCACAGAAAACAGACCGCCCGGCGUGCUUGCUCCGGCGAGCACGGCGGGUAAGGGUGAAACGGUGCGUGUAAGAGACCACCAGCGCGCCAGGUGACUGGCGCGGCUCGGUAAACCCCACCCGGAGCAAGACCAGACAGUGCGCGUUCGAGGGCGGCCCGCCCGAGCGCACGGGUAGGUCGCUAGAGGUGCCUGGCAACAGUCACCCGAGAUGGAUGACCGCCCUCGACAGGACCCGGCGUACAGGCCGGCUCAUCCG
rnacentral:RNase_P_RNA from 1 species